rnacentral:rRNA from 1 species
UACGUAGGGGGCUAGCGUUGUCCGGAAUCAUUGGGCGUAAAGCGCGUGUAGGCGGUCCGAUAAGUUCGCUGUGAAAGUCGGGGGCUCAACCCUCGGAUGCCGGUGAAUACUGUCGGGCUUGAGUACGGAAGAGGCGAGUGGAAUUCCUGGUGUAGCGGUGAAAUGCGCAGAUAUCAGGAGGAACACCAAUGGCGAAGGCAGCUCGCUGGGACGUGACUGACGCUGAGACGCGAAAGCGUGGGGAGCAAACAGG